rnacentral:rRNA from 1 species
AGAGUGAACGCUGGCGGUAGGCCUAACACAUGCAAGUCGAACGGCAGCACGGUAAGAGCUUGCUCUUAUGGGUGGCGAGUGGCGGACGGGUGAGGAAUACAUCGGAAUCUACCUUUUGGUGGGGGAUAACGUAGGGAAACUUACGCUAAUACCGCAUACGCCCUUCGGGGGAAAGCCGGGGACCAGCAAUGGCCUGGUGCUGAUAGAUGAGCCGAUGUCGGAUUAGCUAGUUGGUGAGGUAAUGGCUCACCAAGGCGACGAUCCGUAGCUGGUCUGAGAGGAUGAUCAGCCACACGUGGAACUGAGACCACGGUCCAGACUCCGU